AGUAAAAAUAGAUUUAAUACCAUUAAUAAUAAUCUAGAUUAUUACAAUACUAAUCUGUUUCACAAACCAAGUACAUUAAUUUUACUCUUACGAAGGUAAUUGGGGGUUUCUUUGUCUACACUUUUUACACAAAAUAUCUUUGCCUAGCACCGGAAAUAUUUUAAGUAAUAUUACGGAAAAUUAAUUAUGGCCACUUAAAAAAAGUUUUUGAAUUUGCAUCUUAUAGGUAGUAGACUGGUUACAAAUAUUAUUUUAAAUUUCUUAAAGAUCAUACACUAUCUAAAUUGAUAUGACAAUUUUGUAAGAAGCUAGUUUCCUUGGAAAAGUCUGCAUGUGAAUGAUGAUGAGGAAAACGAUGGUUGCUAAUAAAUCAUUAUUUCGAUAGAUCAGUAUUCUUGAUAUUUAAGUCUGCGAUUUUAGAACGUAAAACAUGCGUAAAACCAUAGCAACUUUAAAGUAUUUAGUUAGUUUAGAGUAAGAGUAGUUUUAGAUAAAGCAAUAACUUAGCAAAUAAGUGUGUACUAAUAUUAAAAUUACAUAGAAGUUUAAUGUAUAAUUUUCGAAAUAUAACCACAGACUUAAAUAUUUCAGGUGUAGGUAAAUUAACCCUGUAAAUUGAGGACAUAAAAUUCACACAUUUUGUCACUUUGAAAAUCCCGACAAUGAUCAUUCCGAAUUGUACUCACAUCUUAGGUAGAUAAUAGGUAUUUUAUUAUUUUACAUACUUGAAGAAGAAAUUUAAGACAGAUCUAUUAAGACUUGAAGAUUUUAGAAUUAUUCGUAGAUAUUUAAAUAUUUUUUACAUUUCUCAUGGUAACCAUCAUUAAGAUGGUUGCAGUUCUUUUGAUUUUAAAAGUGCAAAGUAUUAAUUAAGAUACACAAGUAAAUCUCUUAUUUAUAAAUACAUACUUAUUAUAAUUUUAAACAAUACUUUACAUUACUUUGGGCAGAUAAAUAGGUACAAUAGUAUUUAAAUAAAAAUAGUUAAGUAUGGCUUAAGAUGAAGAAAAUCUGCCGAAGUCUCAAUACUCGUAUUGAACUUUGUAUGUUAUUAUCAUAUACAUUUAAUACAUUAUUCGUGAAACAGAUAAAAUUAAAUUUUCAAACAAUAAAGCUGUAAAUGCAACAAAAUCAUUCUCAAGAAAUAAAAUCAAUGGACGGAAGUCGAAAUCACGAAGCCAAUUACAAAUCAUUAAAUAACAUUCUGAGAAAAUCGUUGAUCAUCGAAAAUGACAAUAAUAAAAUCAACGUCUUGUUCUUCUCCAACAUAAAAUCUUUACUAUCUUUAAACAAAUCAAUCACAAAAAAAAAUAAUUGUGUAUUUCAUCAUUGCAGUGGAAAUAAAGGAACAACAGAUUCACGUAUACACGUAUUUAUAUGAUGUUUUUUUACCACUUGGUGAUUAACGCAUUAAGAUUUAUUGUAAUUUUUCACACAUAACCUACCUUAAUUUGUUUUGUCAAAAAAUCGCAUUAUUUUAAAACAUUAGUUUAUUUACAAUACAACCCAGUAAGUACAAUUUUUAAUAAGUUAUUAUU